UGAAAAUUGUGUUGAUCUGUGAUGAAUGAAUGGUGCUUUUGGGCAAAUAUAUGUAAAAUGCUGGUCAUUUUAUGCAGAUGCUUGUUAUAUGAUGUGAUCACUGUAUGAUAUGCUUUAUCAAAAGAGUUUAAUUUUGUCAUUUUUUGAAUGAAAAAUAUCAUGUUUAAUAUACAUAUAAUAUGAUUCAAUAGAUGGUAGAUUUUUACCUAUAUAUAACUGUACUGUGGAAUCAUUUUUAAUUCAUAGGGCGAAUUAUCAUGUAAUGGUAGAUUUUUGUAGGGUUGUGGGAAAGUAAAUCUGUGGAUCCUGCCUUAAGAAUAUACGUACAAAUCAAAUUUACAAAAUUUGUUGAGGAUGUGAAUUCUUGGAUGAGGAGUACCUACAAAAUCCAGGAAAAUUGAGGGACCUAGAUUAUCAAUGAUUCCACAGAAGUUUAGUUUGUAAAUUGGUGCAAUGCAGUUUCUUUUGAGGAUGUAAUGUGUUUAUUUUAUAACUGGUACUAAAAAUUGAAAGGUUUAAUUCUGAAAUAUAGAUGUUUCUUUUAGAAAUAUUUUUACUCUUUAUAAUGUUUGAAAGUUCUUAAGGUAAAUUUUAUUUGGUUCCAUUAACAGGAUUGUAUUGUAUCUGUGAUAAAAGAAAGAUCAAUCUUCAAAUUGCUGUAAAUUCAAUCAAAAAGGAAGAUUACCUACAAACAUACUUAGCACUGUUAUAGUACAUUAACAUAAAAUGAAACCUUUUAACUUCAUCUUAAUGAUUUGGUCACAUGAUCACUCUUGUAAUGCCAGACAGUGUUUGCUCUUCUUUUGAUUGUCACACUUAGAUAGUCUAACAUACAAGUACUUCUACACUAAGAAUGAAAGAGUGUUCCAAGAACAUUUUCAUGAGUUACAAUUGAACAUAAAUGCCAAUAGAUAACCCCAUAUUGUACUGUCACUGUUAGGGACUCAUUGAUAAGCUGUUUGAGUACAGUAGUACUUUCGUGAAGUGAAUCAGUUAACGUUAUAUGUACUGGUACUUUAUAUUUUGUCAAAAUCCAGUUUUGUUUUCAUACGCACUUCCUUACUGUAACUUUAUGCACUGAAUUGUUCUGUUCUGAAAUUUGUUAACAUAUAUUUAUGUAAAUAAAUAGUGAAACGCU
rnacentral:misc_RNA from 1 species